ACUCCUACGGGAGGCAGCAGUAAGGAAUAUUGGUCAAUGGGCGCAAGCCUGAACCAGCCAUGCCGCGUGCAGGAAGACGGCCCUAUGGGUUGUAAACUGCUUUUAUCAGGGAAUAAACCUUUGUACGUGUACAAAGCUGAAGGUACCUGAAGAAUAAGCAUCGGCUAACUCCGUGCCAGCAGCCGCGGUAAUACGGAGGAUGCAAGCGUUAUCCGGAUUCAUUGGGUUUAAAGGGUGUGCAGGCGGAUUGGUAAGUCAGGGGUGAAAUCCCACAGCUCAACUGUGGAACUGCCUUUGAUACUGUCAGUCUAGAGUAUAGUUGAAGUGGGCGGAAUGUGUCAUGUAGCGGUGAAAUGCUUAGAUAUGACACAGAACACCGAUCGCGAAGGCAGCUCGCUAAGCUAUAACUGACGCUCAUGCACGAAAGCGUGNGGGAUCGAACAGGAUUAGAUACCCUGGUAGUC
rnacentral:rRNA from 1 species